AAUAAAACUCCGGUCUCCCACACAGCAGGCUCUGCAGUGAAUUACUCUUUCUCUAUUGUAAUUCCCCUGUCUUGAUAUAUCAGCUGUGUCUAGGCAGCGGGCAAGGUGAACCCAUUGGGCAGUUACGCAGCUGCUGGAUGAACAAAUAAAUGUGUGGAAAAUGAAGAAAAACCGAGAGUCAAAGCUUACAGACUCUGCGAUGUGUCCUGGAUGCAAAGGCCACCUCCUGGAGUUUUUGCUACCUUUGCUUUUCAGCUGAAAGUAUUUUGGGAAGUCGAAGCUUGGAGAGAUUCUGUGAAUUGGUGAAGGACACAGAGCAAAGCCAGGAUUCAGAUUCAGACCUGCUUGACUCCAAGAUCAUUCCAGAAAUCUCCCUUUUCCUUUGGACCCUGUGACGUGACAGCUGGGUUCUUUCUGCUCUGAUUUCCAUGCCUGACAACCAUUUAAAUGGAAUACAAGAAUGCAGUUUUCUUAGGUUGAAAGAAAUUCACCCUUUAUCAAGAAUUAUUUAUAGUUCCUCUGGAGUGAGAGAGGAAGACAUUACCCACGCAGUGCUCUGUGGAAUCAUCUGAGCCACCACUUCUGCCUUGGGGACAUCAUCUGGGGAAGUAUCUAGAUCCUUUGGCUGAACAACGUGUUUUGAGGUCUUUAAUAUGUCACCUUAAGGAUGAGGCCUAGAGAACAUGGCCUUUUGUUGAACAGUUUGUAAGCUCUCAAAUGUGAGUAAAUGUGAGGAGGGUCUUGAGAGAUAUAGGAAGCUCAAGAAACCUAGCUAGAGUCUCUAGACUGUUGAGAAAAGUGGUGAGAAGAAAUUCCCAUUGUGGGGGAUGGGAGUGGUGGUUCAGGAGGAUUUUUGAGAAUGGGGAUAGAGAGCCUAGAAAUAAGGCCACACACCCAUGGCCAUCUGAUCUUCGACAAAGCAAGCAAUGAGUAAUGGACUCCUUGUUCAAUAAAUGGUGCCGGGUUGACUGAUUAGCCAUAUGCAGAAGAUUGAAACUGGACUCCUUCCUCACACCAUAUACAGAAAUCAACUCAAGAUGGAUUAAAGACUUAAAUGUAAAACCCAGAACUAUAAAAACUCUGGAAGACAACCUAGGCAAUACCACCCUGGAUAUAGGAACGGGCAAAGAUUUCAUGAUGAAGACACUAAAAGCAAUUGCAGCAAAAGCAAAAAUUGACAAAUGUGAUCUGAUUAAACCUAAGAGCUUCUGCACAGCAAAAGAAAUUAUCAACAGAGUAAACAGAGUAAACAACCUAUAGAAUAGGAGAAAAUAUUUGCAGACUAAGUAUCCAACAAAGGUCUCAUAUCCAGCAUCUAUAAGGAACUUAAACAAAUUUAUAAGAAAUAACUAACAAUUCCAACAAAAAGUGGGCAAAGUAUAUGAACAGACACUUUGCUAAAGUAGACAUAUAUGUGGCCAACAAGCAAAUGAAAAAAAGCUCAAUAUCAUGAUCAUUAGAGAAAUGCAAAUCAAAGCCACAAUAAGAUAUAUCAUCUCACACCAGUCAGAAUGGCUAUUAUUAAAAAGUCAAAAAAUAACCGAUGGCUGGUAAAGUUGCAGAGAAAAGGAAAUACUUAUACACUGUUAGUUGGAGUUUAAAUUAGUUCAACCAUUAUGGAAAGCAGUGUGGUGAUUCCUCAAAGAGCUAAAAACAGGACUACCAUUUGACCCAGCAAACCUAUUACUGGGUAUAUGCCCAGAGGAAUAGAAAUCAUUCUACCAUAAAAACAUGUGCAACAAAUGUUCAUUGUAGCACUAUCCAAAAUAGCAAAGACAUGGAAUCAACCUAAAUGUCCAUCAAUGACAGAUUGGAUAAAAAAUGUAGUACAUAGGUCCCAUGGAAUACUAUGCAACCAUAAGAAAGAACAAGAUCAUGUCUUUUGCAGGAACAUGAUGGAGCUGGAGGCCAUUAUCCUUAGCAAACUAAUGCAGAAACAGAAAACUAAAUAGUGCAUGCUCUUACUCAUAAGAGGGAGCUAAAUGAGGAGACAUCAUGAAUACAAAGAGGGGAACAACAGACACUGGGACCUCUUUGAGGGUGGAGGGUAGGAGGAGGGAGAGGAGCAGAAAAACAUUAAUCUUGUUGUACAGAUUAUUUUGUCACCCAGGUACUAAAUGUGGUACUAUUGGGUACCCUACCACUGUUUUAUCAAACAAGUUUCUGUAAUAGUAUAAAUCCUUUGUUGUCAUUACAACAAUGUUCAUGGCAUCUUCACCAGGAGUAAAUCUCAUCUCAAGAAACCACUUUUUUUGCUUAUCCAUAAGAAGCAACUCCUCAUCUAUUCAAAUUUGAUCAUGAGAUUGCAGCAAUCUGGUCACAUCUUCAGGUUCACUCUAAUUCAAGUUCUCUUGCUGUUUCUACCACAUCCACAGUUACUUCCUUCACUGAAAUUUUGAACCUGUCAAAAUUUGGUACCUUACUGUUGUGUACCAGGUUUAGUACCUGGGUGACAAAAUAAUCUGUACAACAGACCCCCCGUGAUACCAGUUAACCUAGGUAACAAACCUGCACAUGUACUCCUGAACCUGAAAU
rnacentral:lncRNA from 1 species